UGGGGAAUAUUGCACAAUGGAGGGAACUCUGAUGCAGCGACGCCGCGUGAACGAAGAAGGCUUUCGAGUCGUAAAGUUCUUUUAUAUGGGAAGAUAAUGACGGUACCAUAAGAAAAAGCCCCGGCUAAUUACGUGCCAGCAGCCGCGGUAAUACGUAAGGUCCGAGCGUUGUCCGGAAUCAUUGGGCGUAAAGGGUACGUAGGCGGGUAAGCAAGUUAGAAGUGAAAUCCUGUAGCUCAACUACAGUAAGCUUUUAAAACUGCUCAUCUUGAGAUAUGGAAGGGAAAGUGGAAUUCCUAGUGUAGCGGUGAAAUGCGCAGAUAUUAGGAGGAAUACCGGUGGCGAAGGCGACUUUCUGGCCAUAAUCUGACGCUGAGGUACGAAAGCGUGGGUAGCAAACAGG
rnacentral:rRNA from 1 species